CACACAAAACUGUAAGCAUGUGAGAGUGAAGUCAUUGUUUUCCGAUACAUUUGCCAGAGUGUGGGACAAAAAUUAUUUGUAGGCCGUUUAUGCCCAAGACUGCAGCUGCUGGUGUGUGGUGUUCCCUCUGACCAUCUGCCACCUCAGAGGCAGGUGACUCACUUAAGUAACAACCAGAGGCCUUCUGGUUACCAUGGAGUCCCUCUGGAGAAGAGCUGGAUGGUACCAAGUGCCAUCUGCAUCCACUGGCAUGAACCUGCACCUGGUUAUUAUUUAAACGGGGAAGUUGCAAUAAAUUUACCAAGGC